GCCCGAUUAUUUCAAUUGGUUAGAAUGUCAGCCUUUUAAGAAUUGAAGCAAAAGCCCCCACCUGUUGCAGGAGGGAUGCUCCAGCUGUAUAGCUGAAAGCUGCGAGUUCGAGCCUCGCAUCGGGCU
rnacentral:tRNA from 1 species